CAGCCGCCGCGGUAAUACGAAGGGUGCAAGCGUUACUCGGAAUUACUGGGCGUAAAGCGUGCGUAGGUGGUGGUUUAAGUCCGUUGUGAAAGCCCUGGGCUCAACCUGGGAAUUGCAGUGGAUACUGGGUCACUAGAGUGUGGUAGAGGAUAGUGGAAUUUCCGGUGUAGCAGUGAAAUGCGUAGAGAUCGGAAGGAACAUCUGUGGCGAAGGCGACUAUCUGGGCCAACACUGACACUGAGGCACGAAAGCGUGGGGAGCAAACAGGAUUAGAGACCCGCGUAGUCCCUGUCUCUUAUAC
rnacentral:rRNA from 1 species